rnacentral:rRNA from 1 species
UACGUAGGGUGCGAGCGUUAAUCGGAAUUACUGGGCGUAAAGCGUGCGCAGGCGGUUUUGUAAGCCAGAUGUGAAAUCCCCGGGCUCAACCUGGGAAUGGCAUUUGGGACUGCAAGGCUGGAGUUUGGCAGAGGAGACUGGAAUUCCUGGUGUAGCAGUGAAAUGCGUAGAUAUCAGGAGGAACACCAGCGGUGUAGACGGCUUUCUGGACCAUUGCUGACGCUGAGACACGAAAGCGUGGGUAGCAAACAGG